rnacentral:tRNA from 1 species
GGGGUUGUGGCUUAGUGGUAGAGCACUUGCCUAGCACGUGUGUGGCCCUGGGUUCAACCCUCAGCACCA